GCCGCGUGAGGGAUGACGGCCUUCGGGUUGUAAACCUCUUUCAGCAGGGAAGAAGCGAAAGUGACGGUACCUGCAGAAGAAGCGCCGGCUAACUACGUGCCAGCAGCCGCGGUAAUACGUAGGGCGCAAGCGUUGUCCGGAAUUAUUGGGCGUAAAGAGCUCGUAGGCGGCUUGUCACGUCGGAUGUGGAAGCCCGAGGCUUAACCUCGGGUCUGCACUCGAUACGGGCUAGCUAGAGUGUGGUAGGGGAGAUCGGAAUUCCUGGUGUAGCGGUGAAAUGCGCAGAUAUCAGGAGGAACACCGGUGGCGAAGGCGGAUCUCUGGGCCAUUACUGACGCUGAGGAGCGAAAGCGUGGGGAGCGAACAGGAUUAGAUACCCUGGUAGUCCACGCCGUAAACGUUGGGAACUAGGUGUUGGCGACAUUCCACGUCGUCGGUGCCGCAGCUAACGCAUUAAGUUCCCCGCCUGGGGAGUACGGCCGCAAGGCUAAAACUCAAAGGAAUUG
rnacentral:rRNA from 1 species